CUAAUAAGCAUGUUUAACAAAUAAAUUUCUUUUUUUUUUUUAAUUUUACUUUUUUUUUUUUAACACCAGGGGAAAGCGUGAAUGCAGUCCCCCACUACCACAAACAUUGGGGAAAUCGCAGGGGUCAGCACAUCCGGAAUGCAAUAGAUAACCUCGCUCUGGGAAAACUACCUUUGUGAUCAUGGUAUCUCCUCUGCCAGGUCUUAAGAUUUAUAUUGAGAAGACAGUGGCAAAGCACAGAGCAUAUAAUAAUUUUGAAACUGGCGACAAGGAAGGGUAAUGAAGUGAAAUAAUAGAACCAAGUAAGAGAAACCACAAGAUCAAAAAGAAGGGACGAACAGUAGGUAAGUAAUUCUGAAGAAAC
rnacentral:lncRNA from 1 species